ACACAUGCAGUCGAACGGUGAAGCCCCGCUUGCGGGGUGGAUCAGUGGCGAACGGGUGAGUAACACGUGAGCAACCUGCCCCUGACUCUGGGAUAAGCGCUGGAAACGGCGUCUAAUACUGGAUACGAGACGUGAUCGCAUGGUCAACGUUUGGAAAGAUUUUUCGGUUGGGGAUGGGCUCGCGGCCUAUCAGCUUGUUGGUGAGGUAAUGGCUCACCAAGGCGUCGACGGGUAGCCGGCCUGAGAGGGUGACCGGCCACACUGGGACUGAGACACGGCCCAGACUCCUACGGGAGGCAGCAGUGGGGAAUAUUGCACAAUGGGCGCAAGCCUGAUGCAGCAACGCCGCGUGAGGGAUGACGGCCUUCGGGUUGUAAACCUCUUUUAGCAGGGAAGAAGCGAGAGUGACGGUACCUGCAGAAAAAGCACCGGCUAACUACGUGCCAGCAGCCGCGGUAAUACGUAGGGUGCAAGCGUUAUCCGGAAUUAUUGGGCGUAAAGAGCUCGUAGGCGGUUUGUCGCGUCUGCUGUGAAAUCUGGGGGCUCAACCCCCAGCCUGCAGUGGGUACGGGCAGACUAGAGUGCGGUAGGGGAGAUUGGAAUUCCUGGUGUAGCGGUGGAAUGCGCAGAUAUCAGGAGGAACACCGAUGGCGAAGGCAGAUCUCUGGGCCGUAACUGACGCUGAGGAGCGAAAGGGUGGGGAGCAAACAGGCUUA
rnacentral:rRNA from 1 species